rnacentral:rRNA from 1 species
UACGUAGGGUGCGAGCGUUAAUCGGAAUUACUGGGCGUAAAGGGCGCGUAGGCGGUGUGUCAAGUCAGGCGUGAAAGCCCCGGGCUCAACCUGGGAACCGCGCUUGAGACUGGCACGCUCGAGUUCGGGAGAGGAUGGUGGAAUUCCCAGUGUAGAGGUGAAAUUCGUAGAUAUUGGGAAGAACACCGGUGGCGAAGGCGGCGACCUGGUCCGGAUACUGACGCUGGAGGCGACGAAAGCGUGGGGAGCAAACAGG